rnacentral:rRNA from 1 species
CCCGGUGAAGUUUUAACGGCCGCAGUUAAGAGCUGUGCUAAGGUAGCGUAGUAAGUUGUCCUUUUAAUGGGGAAAGGAAUGAAUGGUUUGACGUGGGAAUUGCUGUCUCUGGUUAAAUAAAAAAAGUUUUCUUCCUAGUGAAAAGCCUAGGAUUGUUUUAAAAGACGAGAAGACCCUUUCGAGCUUGAUUAAGUUUACUAUUUUAGGGGGCAGAAGUUUGGUUGGGGCAACUUAGGAGCAAAAAUAGACUCCUUGAGGAGCGCAAAGAUCCAAAAAUUUUGAAUAAGGAAAAAGCUACCGUAGGGAUAACAGCGUUAUCUUUUCUGAGAGGACAUAUUGAAGGAAAG